UCAUAGCGGCUGGGCUGAACAGGAGACGUCGCUACAAGAAGGCCACACGCACCAGCCCUGCAGUGACCUUGGCCACUGGGAAAUGCCCUUUGUGAUGUCGAAACUAAUGACUUCUUGAAGAAACGUCAGCCAGGACCUCAUGAGACUGGGUGUCAGAGAUGCUGCCUGUGUGUGAGGAACACCUGGGGCCAGGGCUUCUCUGUGUCCGGGGCGGUGACCACGACACCUUUCCAGCCCGUGCCUCUGUGGGUCACAGGGAGGCUCCAGUUCCUGCCCCAGGUCCUGCUGGCCUUGGUGCCCAGGGUGCAGCUGGAGUACACACUGAUGUCAACCUCCCAGAGUGUCCUGGACGGGCGCCGAGGCCACCUCCACCCUGCUACACCAGAGGAACCAGGGUGACAACUGUCUGGGCUGAGUCCUGGGCUGGCUCUAUGGGAGGUGGCUCCAGGCCUCUCCAGGGACUGGAGUGAGGGCCUGAGAGUGCCCACCCCUGAGGAAGAGGACCCCCGUGUGGGGGUGGAGGCCCUACUCCAGGACACCUCUCUGCUGCCUCUCAGCCCCCAGCUGUGGACAGCCCUGCAGGAGCUCUCACCCACUCAGUGCAAUGGUGGGGAUGGGGACAGGGCUGUCUGAGCGGGCGCCUGAUCCUACGCCAGCACUGUGUGCCACGCCCCGGUUCCCAGAGGAGCAGGGACUGGACAUCAUGCUCAGGCCCCUGGCUCCAGGCCCCACCCUGGCUC
rnacentral:lncRNA from 1 species